rnacentral:misc_RNA from 1 species
AAGUCGUAACAAGGUUUCCGUAGGUGAACCUGCGGAAGGAUCAUUAGAGUAUUUCUAACCAAAAUCUCUAUCUCUAUAUGAGUAAUGUAUGUGUAUCUAUGCCUCUCGGGGUGCAGUGCAUAUAUGUCUUGUAUAGGGAGAAGGUGAUUUAUCAUCUAACUUACACUGUGAACAUGUGACCGUUUCUGUCAUAGUGUGGUAGGAGACGGCCUUUGGUAGAGAGUGAGGGUCUUGUCGCUCAUAGCUUUACCGAGGGACCAAACCAAUAAACCUUUGUACUUGUACAAUAAACCUAAAACUUAAAAAACCUUGUCAGUAAGUGUGCUUAUGUUAGUAUGUAUGACAUAGAUGUGUCUUUGAAGUAUAUAUCAGUGUAGGUAUAUUGAAAGCAAAACAAACUUAAAACAACCUUUAUCAAUGGAUCUCUUGGCUCCUG